GCUGGGCGCAGUGGUGCACGCCUGUAAUCCCAGAGGCGCAGGAGGUUGAGACAGGAGGAUGGCAAGUUCAAAGCCAGCCUCGGCAAUGACAAGGUGCUAAGCAGCUCAGUGAGACCCUGUCUCUA
rnacentral:sRNA from 1 species